AUUCCUACGGGAGGCAGCAGUAGGGAAUAUUGGUCAAUGGACGAAAGUCUGAACCAGCCAUGCCGCGUGCAGGAAGACGGCCUUCUGGGUUGUAAACUGCUUUUCUCAGGGAAGAAAAAGGUCUUGCGAGACAAAUUGCCGGUACCUGAGGAAUAAGCACCGGCUAACUCCGUGCCAGCAGCCGCGGUAAUACGGAGGGUGCGAGCGUUGUCCGGAUUUAUUGGGUUUAAAGGGUGCGUAGGCGGCCUAUUAAGUCAGUGGUGAAAGGUAUCAGCUUAACUGAUGACGUGCCAUUGAAACUGAUAGGCUUGAGUACAGACGAGGUAGGCGGAAUUUAUGGUGUAGCGGUGAAAUGCAUAGAUACCAUAAAGAACACCGAUAGCGAAGGCAGCUUACUAGGCUGAGACUGACGCUGAGGCACGAAAGCGUGGGGAGCGAACAGGAUUAGAUACCCUGGUAGUCCACGCUGUAAACGAUGACUACUGGAUGUGUGCGAUAGACAGUACGCGUCUGAGCGAAAGCGUUAAGUAAUCCACCUGGGGAGUACGAUCGCAAGAUUGAAACUCAAAGGAAUUGACGGAAU
rnacentral:rRNA from 1 species